UAUUAAAGACACAUUCAUCCAUAGACAGUAGGUCUGUAAAUCCUACCGAGGUUGAAGAGAAAAAAGCUUAAUGAAUGAUAGAGCUCUCUUCACACUGUGGAGUGAGCUUUUUUGAUACAAUU
rfam:Acetobacterium woodii DSM 1030, complete genome.